AGCAGCCGCGGUAAUUCCAGCUCCAAUAGCGUAUAUUAAAGUUGUUGCAGUUAAAAAGCUCGUAGUUGAAUUUCGGGGUCAGUAGGUUGGUCAUGCCACUGGUAUGUACUGGUCUCACUGAUUCCUCCUUCCUGAUGAACUGUAAUGCCAUUAAUUUGGUGUUGCAGGGAAUCUGGACUGUUACUUUGAAAAAAUUAGAGUGUUUAAAGCAGGCUAACGCCUGAAUACAUUAGCAUGGAAUAAUGAAAUAGGACGUUCGAUCCUAUUUUGUUGGUUUCUAGGAUUGACGUAAUGAUUAAUAGGGAUAGUUGGGGGCAUUAGUAUUCAAUUGUCAGAGGUGAAAUUCUUGGAUUUAUUGAAGACUAACUACUGCGAAAGCAUUUGCCAAGGAUGUUUUCAUUAAUCAAGAACGAAAGUUAGGGGAUCGAAGACGAUCAGAUACCGUCGUAGUCUUAACCAUAAACUAUAGCCGACUAGGGAUCGGAUGAUGUUAAUUUUUAAUGACUC
rnacentral:rRNA from 1 species